AUUGAACGCUGGCGGCAUGCCUUACACAUGCAAGUCGAACGGUAACGGGCCUUCGGGUGCCGACGAGUGGCGAACGGGUGAGUAAUGUAUCGGAACGUACCUUUCAGUGGGGGAUAACGUAGCGAAAGUUACGCUAAUACCGCAUAUUCUGUGAGCAGGAAAGCAGGGGAUCGCAAGACCUUGCGCUGAUUGAGCGGCCGAUAUCAGAUUAGCUAGUUGGUGAGGUAAAGGCUCACCAAGGCGACGAUCUGUAGCGGGUCUGAGAGGAUGAUCCGCCACACUGGAACUGAGACACGGUCCAGACUCCUACGGGAGGCAGCAGUGGGGAAUUUUGGACAAUGGGGGCAACCCUGAUCCAGCCAUGCCGCGUGAGUGAAGAAGGCCUCGG
rnacentral:rRNA from 1 species